rnacentral:lncRNA from 1 species
AUCCAUCUUCCUGACUGCUGUUGGCACAGGGCACAGGUAAAGAGUUUACUGGGUAAGAAGUACCAAUGUGCUGAUUAUAUCAUCUUGCCUGGGCAUCACAUGAGUAGCUGUCGUUCUUCCAGCUAGUAACUGAGUAUACACACCUUCCUUUGUGUCUUUCAGGUAGCCAGAGAAAUGAGAUGCAGCCCUCUGACCUCGCACCCACUAUGCUGCCAGUCAAACUGCCUACAGUCUGAGUGGGAGGAUGCUCUUAAGGAACCCUGGAAAGGGAAAAACAGCACAGUGAGAAACUGGGUUAUGACUCUGGAAAAGAUCUGGGUUGGAUGGAUGAAGCUCUCUCACCUGGGUUCCAUGUUCCAGAAACAGAUGCGUAUUAUGUUCUAUGGACAAACUCCAUUGUUUCAGAGUGUUUUUCUCAUGACCUACCUACUGAAAGAAAUCUGUGUGCAUGAACUGCCCCAUCUUGGACCUGUUGGAUUGUUCAGACCAUGCCCCAGUUCCUGCACAAUUUGGUGUCUUGAAGUAUCUUUGGGCUGUGAGAGCGACUGGGUGAUGACACAAAGAUGCAGUCAAGAAUAACAUCUGGACCAGCAAAAUCACAGCACUGGGACAGAGGCAGAAAACCUUCUAAUAGUGCUUCAAGAGGGCUGUGAAACUUUAUUCAGUGGAGGCUUUUAAAAACAGGUUAGAUAGAUAAAUAUCUCUCAGGACUGGUUUAAAGAUAAUUGAUCCUGCCCCAGUGCAGGGAGAUGCUCUGAACCACCUUUCAAGGAACCUUUCCUGUGGUAGCUACAUUUAUGGGACAUGCAUCAAAAUCAGAUGAUAUGUAGCCUGUUGGCUCCAACAAGCAGUUACUGUCUGGAGUUGUGCAUUUUGGCCACUUAAGGUUGUAAGAGAGAGGGAAAAACCCUUUUUUAUCACUGGACAAGCUACUGCAGUAUCCCAGGAGUGGGUUUCUCUUCCCACCAGCACUCACAGACAAAACUCAUGCACUUACCAUUCAUUUUAGACCAGAUUCUGGCAUCUCAGCUAUUUCAGAUUUGUCAGGGGAGGAGGAGGGGUUGCCUUGUAGCCCCAGGACAUUAAAGGCCUCCGUGUCUCCUCCUAUGUCUUAGCUAAAGCUGUUCUGAUUCUCUGGAGCCUUUUCGACAGCAGCAACUUGCUCAUUCCCUAUCUUUUCUCUGCAGCUUUAAUUAGCUCUGUUGGUUCUUUUCCAUCAUUUCUGGUAUAGAUAAUUUCACUCUCAUAUAUUUAAGUCAGACCUUCAUCUAACUCCACCAGCCUCUAUGCCUUUUUCUAGUGCUAAGUAGGAAACACAAUUUUCUCAAGGUGUCUUUUAUAUUCUAGGGACAUCACAGCCUGUUGCAUCUUAAUAUGCACCCUACAGGCUUCCUCAGCUGCCUUCCACAUGGGUUAUAAUUCUUCCUUUGGUUGUUUCUAAUGCUGUAGUCUUCUGACUAUAGUUCCCUCUGGCAUCUUCCAAAGUCCUUGGGAAACCUGGCUUUAUUUUGGCAAUAGGACCUUAAAGCUAAGUAAUCCCAGACAGACAUAAUCAGAAAUAGCUAUGGUACAGCAAUAAAUUGAACUUUGACUAAGUGAAGGAUUUGCA